GGAAUUUCUGCCAACUCCAUGCCAGGCGCUGCCUCCUCUCUCUCAUUGAAGCAUCACUGUAUCCUUUGUGUAUUUAACAAUUUUCUCAUCUGCAAACUGGAGAUGACGAUACUGGUACCUUCCUCACCAGGCCGCUGCUGAAUGAACAUGACAACCACCAUGCGUUAUUACAUUGCAGAUGCAGCAUCCCAGAGCCUGCCUGGGCCCCAUCCACAGGGCCCUGCCCAGUUUGUCUUCAUUCACUGCACUAGGGAGCUGGUG